GCAUUGGUGGUUCAGUGGUAGAAUUUACGCCUGCCACGCGGGAGGCCUGGGUUCGGGUCCCAGCCCAUGCA
rfam:Salmo salar isolate Sally breed double haploid chromosome ssa15, whole genome shotgun sequence.